ensembl:lncRNA
GCGCAGCCCCGCGCCAGCUGCCGCCGCCGCCCCGCCCGCCCGCCGCGCACGGCACAGGCUCGCCCCGCCGGCGCGAUGGCCACCUGAUCGCCACCUAAUCGUCGCCGCCGCCGCAACUUUUCCUCCCUGCGCCGCGCCGCUGCUUCCCCCGUCGCUCCGGUGGAAGAUGGCAGUUGGGGGAAGCGCUAGAAGUUGCAGCCCGCGAGCGAAGAGAUAAGGCGGAGGAGCGGGAAGAUUCACCUCACUUCUGGAAGAAUCUCAAAAUCUGAACAACUUCUGCCACAGUUUGCUUUACUCUCUAACAAGAUACCAUUCUAUUAAGAACAAUGAGCUCCACAACACCAGAUGGGGUUUCUGGACGUGAACAGCUCUUGGCUCAGCAAAGAAUGCACAGUAUGAUCAGCUCAGUGGACGUGAAGUCGGAGGUUCCUGUGGGACUGGAGCCUAUCUCACCGCUGGACUUGCGGACCGAUCUCAGGAUGAUGGUUCCCAUGGUGGACCCCAUUAUGCGCGAGAAGCAGCUGCAGCAGGAGCUGCUCCUGAUCCAGCAGCAGCAGCAAAUUCAGAAACAACUGCUCAUUGCAGAGUUCCAGAAGCAGCAUGAAAACCUGACCCGCCAGCAUCAGGCCCAGCUCCAGGAGCACAUUAAGUUACAACAGGAACUCCUAGCCAUUAAACAACAGCAAGAACUCCUUGAAAAAGAGCAGAAACUGGAGCAGCAAAGACAAGAGCAGGAACUGGAGAGGCAUCGCAGGGAGCAGCAGCUUCCUCCCCUCCGAGGCAAAGAAAGAGGACGAGAAAGGGCAGUUGCCAGUACAGAAGUGAAGCAGAAACUUCAAGAGUUCCUGUUAAGUAAAUCAGCUACAAAAGACUCUACAGCAAACGGGAAGAAUCAUUCCAUGAGCCGCCACCCCAAGCUCUGGUACACGGCUGCCCACCAUACCUCACUGGAUCAAAGCUCUCCACCCCUGAGUGGGGCCUCGCCACCAUACAAAUACACUUUACCAGGAGCACAGGAUGCUAAGGAUGACUUUCCACUUCGUAAAACGGAAUCCUCAGUCAGUAGCAGCUCCCCUGGAUCAGGUCCCAGUUCCCCAAGCAACGGUCCGACCAGCAGUGCAACAGAAAAUGAAACCUCAGUUUUGUCGUCUAACAUUCAAGCUGAGCACCUGGUUUCCCAGCAACGCCUUUUGAUACAGGAUGAAUCAGUGAACUUGUUGAGUCUGUACACAUCCCCCUCUCUGCCCAACAUCACCUUGGGACUUCCAGCAAUACAACCUCAGAUCAGUGCUUCAUCAUCAUUCAAAGAAAAGCAGAAGGGGGAGACCCCGUCACUUAGACAAGGAGUGGCCUUGGCUGGACAGUAUGGAGGGAACCUUCCUCCGUCGUCAACUCAUCCUCACAUUGCUUUGGAGGGAAAGCCAAACAGCAGCCACCAAGCUCUCUUGCAGCAUCUGUUACUGAAAGAACAAAUGAGACAGCAAAAACUUCUUGUGACUGGAGCGGUUCCUCUUCAUCCACAGUCUCCUUUAGCAGCAAAGGAGAGAGUCUCACCUGGCGUAAGAGCUUCCCACAAACUGCCUCGUCACAGGCCACUGAACAGAACCCAGUCAGCUCCUCUUCCUCAGAGUACUUUGGCUCAGCUGGUCAUCCAGCAGCAACAUCAGCAAUUUUUGGAGAAGCAGAAACAGUACCAGCAGCAGAUCCACAUGAAUAAGAUGCUCUCUAAGUCCAUUGAGCAGCUCAAGCAGCCUGGCAGUCACCUGGAGGAAGCUGAAGAAGAGCUUCACGGAGAUCACUCGAUGCAGGAAGAGCGAGCUCCCACCAGUGGUGCCAACGUUAGGGCUGAGAGCAGCAGUGCUGGUGUGGAUGACAGAAUAGGACAGCAGGUGGGGGCUGUGAAAGUCAAAGAGGAGCCACUGGACAGUGAUGAGGAUGUUCAAACCCAGCAAAUGGAAUCUGGGGAGCAAGCUGCUUUUAUGCAACAGGUAAUAGGCAAAGAUUUAGCUCCAGGAUUUGUAAUUAAGGUUAUUAUCUGA